CUCGAUACAUCAUCAAUGGCAGAAUUACCAACUGAUGAAGAUGACUGGUUCUGAUUCGAAGCAUAUAUGGACAUUGCCAUGAGAUAAAGACAUUCUUCGAACCAAAAAGAGCAAUGACUAAGAGAGAUUCCAUUUGAACUGGAAGGAUCAGAAAGAAUUAAGUGUGUAGUGCUCUGAUACCAUAUUGAACAAAUUGAAGAAAUGAACUGAAAAUUGUAUUAUUGUUGAUCAAUUAGAAUCAUACACUGUUGUAUAUAGGGAGUUGAACUAACUCUGACUAACUCUUAGCUAUAUAACCAAUCUAAGUUUGACAUGUAAGCAUUAACCUCUUAACUACUAGAACUAUAUUAACUAAUUCCAGCUUGUCUUCAACAGGCUAUUGUUGCUGCUGCAUAUUCUAUUACAUCCAAUCAAAAGAAAUUGAUUUCCAAUCACAUGAACUCCAAGUUUGUGGUUAAUCAAGAAAUAAAUGAAAAACCGGAGAAGCAAUCUGACCUUUGUGCCACUCGAAAACAAUUAUAUUCUUGAUCAUGACGCUAGUGGAGGUCGGCGAAUAUCAAAAGGGACCAAUAUCUGAUCCAUCGUACAACCUUAACUUGAUCUCCAUAAAGUCUUCUUCUUUUGGCAUUGAAUUUGUUCCAAAAUUCUAAAAUUCUCAACCAACCUUGUUUCCUUCUCAGAUCCCUUCCCCCAAUUGAAGCCAAAAUUAAUCCAAAAUGAUACCCCUCCUAUCCCCACCAGAAAAUCUACACAAAUCUAUUAACAAUUACAAGAUGGUAGAUACUUUCUUUUGAAAAGCUGCUUUAGGGAAAACUGUAAAUAAAUUUAGC
rnacentral:lncRNA from 1 species